CCGCUCGCGCGCCUCUGAGAGGCUGUCCGCGCGCGCGCGUGUGUGCGUGAGUGUGGAUUUGCCGGGACUGGAGCUGGAAAGUUCAAACUAAACGUGUUGCUCUCGCCGAGUGCCGAGGCCGCGGCGGAGGCUGCCCAACUUCCCCGGGCCAAGUGAGUGGCGUUGCCCAGCGCCUUUGGCGAGGCGGCGGCCGCUCGGCCCUGCGCCCGGCCGCGGCGGCGGCGGCUCCGCUCGCCCCGGGAGGGAGCCCGCGGCCAGGGCUGGACUCUCGCCCCGCCACCUCCACCGACUCUCUCCUCAGCCUCCGCGCCUGGCACCGCAGCAAGACUUGAAUGAAGUGAUCAUGUAAACUAGAGAAAGGAGAUUAAAAAUAACCUCUGGAUAUUCCUCUCAUGUGAUCUUUAUUCUGGAUGAAGCAUUAGGACAGCUAAUAGCCGUGUGUCACUGCAAUUUGCUGCCAGAAGUGUGUUUUCCUUUUUAAAAGAAAAUCAAACUACCUGUAGCUACUUGGGGAAUGAUGAAGAAAUAGAGAAGUCUUUGUGGGGUUUCAGGAGCCAUUUGAUUCAAGUAAGUCGGUGAGUAGCCUGCCCGACCGGAGGAAGCCAGACUGACCCAUAAUGACUCCAACCAUCCAACAAGUGUGGAUUGACCGCCUACUGUGUUCAGUGUGACAUGGAGGGGAGAUGA
rnacentral:lncRNA from 1 species